rnacentral:rRNA from 1 species
UACGUAGGGUGCAAGCGUUUAAUCGGAAUUACUGGGCGUAAAGCGUGCGCAGGCGGUUUUGUAAGUCUGACGUGAAAUCCCCCGGGCUCAACCUGGGAAUUGCGUUUGGAGACUGCAAGGCUGGAGUCUGGCAGAGGGGGGGGUAGAAUUCCACGUGUAGCAGUGAAAUGCGUAGAGAUGUGGAGGAACACCGAUGGCGAAGGCAGCCCCCUGGGUCAAGACUGACGCUCAUGCACGAAAGCGUGGGGAGCAAACAGG